AUAUGAAUAAAUUUGGUGCUCUCCGACAGCGAAUAAUUGCUUGGAAGGAAGUGAUCCGAGUAUGUGUAAUGACAGGGAGGAAGAGAGGUGAGCACCACGGAUCUUCGCCUAGUCAUCGGGAUUUGUUUUGUUAAAACGGAAGAAGCAUGUGAUUACAGAAGGAGGCGCGCAAUUUGGAAAAUGACAGAG
ensembl:ncRNA T10E10.12 ncRNA